CCUACGGGAGGCAGCAGUGGGGAAUUUUCCGCAAUGGSCGAAAGCCUGACGGAGCAAGACCGCGUGAGGGAGGAAGGCUCUUGGGGUUGUAAACCUCUUUUCUCAGGGAAGAAGCUCUGACGGUACCUAGAGGAAUCAGCCUCGGCUAACUCCGUGCCAGCAGCCGCGGUAAUACCGUGCCAGCAGCCGCGGUAAU
rnacentral:rRNA from 1 species